GUCUCCUACGGGGGGCAGCAGUAGGGGAUCUUCCACAAUGGGCGAAAGCCUGAUGGAGCAACGCCGCGUGGGUGAAGAAGGUCUUCGGAUCGUAAAACCCUGUUGUUAGAGAAGAAAGUGCGUGAGAGUAACUGUUCACGUUUCGACGGUAUCUAACCAGAAAGCCACGGCUAACUACGUGCCAGCAGCCGCGGUAAUACGUAGGUGGCAAGCGUUAUCCGGAUUUAUUGGGCGUAAAGAGAACGCAGGCGGUAUUUUAAGUCUGAUGUGCAAGCCUUCGGCUUAACCGGUGUAG
rnacentral:rRNA from 1 species